AGGGUUUGAUCAUGGCUCAGAACGAACGCUGGUGGCGUGCUUAACACAUGCAAGUCGAACGAGAAAGUUUCCUUCGGGAAAUUAGUAAAGUGGCGCAAGGGUGAGUAUCACGUGAAUAAUCUGCCCUCGAGAUCGGGAUAACAUGGUGAAAACUAUGCUAAUACCGGAUAAGACCACAUUUCAUAAGAAAUGCGGUAAAAGGAGUCUCAAUCUUCACUCGAGGAUGAGUUCGCGCAACAUUAGCUUGUUGGUGAGAUAAAAGCUCACCAAGGCUACGAUGUUUAGCCGGCCUGAGAGGGUGAUCGGCCACACUGGAACUGAGACACGGUCCAGACUCCUACGGGAGGCAGCAGUGGGGAAUAUUGCGCAAUGGGCGAAAGCCUGACGCAGCAACGCCGUGUGAGCGAUGAAGGCUUUAGGGUCGUAAAGCUCUGUCAAAUGGGAAGAAUUUUGACGGUACCAUUAGAGGAAGCCCCGGCUAACUCCGUGCCAGCAGCCGCGGUAAUACGGAGGGGGCAAGCGUUGUUCGGAAUUAUUGGGCGUAAAGCGUGUGUAGGCGGUUAAACAAGUCAGGCGUGCAAGCCCGUGGCUCAACCACGGAAUUGCGUUUGAAACUGUUUAACUUGAGUACAGGAGAGGAAAGCGGAAUUCCCAGUGUAGCGGUGAAAUGCAUUGAUAUUGGGAAGAACAUCUGUGG
rnacentral:rRNA from 1 species